ACGAACGCUGGCGGCGUGCUUAACCCAUGCAAGUCGCACGGAAAGGCCCUGCUUUUGUGGGGUGCUCGAGUGGCGAACGGGUGAGUAACACGUGAGUAACCUGCCCUUGACUUUGGGAUAACUUCAGGAAACUGGGGCUAAUACCGGAUAGGAGCUCCUGCUGCAUGGUGGGGGUUGGAAAGUUUCGGCGGCUGGGGAUGGACUCGCGGCUUAUCAGCUUGUUGGUGGGGUAGUGGCUUACCAAGGCUUUGACGGGUAGCCGGCCUGAGAGGGUGACCGGCCACAUUGGGACUGAGAUACGGCCCAGACUCCUACGGGAGGCAGCAGUGGGGAAUAUUGCACAAUGGGCGGAAGCCUGAUGCAGCAACGCCGCGUGCGGGAUGACGGCCUUCGGGUUGUAAACCGCUUUCGCCUGUGACGAAGCGUGAGUGACGGUAAUGGGUAAAGAAGCACCGGCUAACUACGUG
rnacentral:rRNA from 1 species